rnacentral:rRNA from 1 species
GACGAACGCUGGCGGCGUGCUUAACACAUGCAAGUCGAACGGAAAGGCCCUGCUUUUGUGGGGUGCUCGAGUGGCGAACGGGUGAGUAACACGUGAGUAACCUGCCCUUGACUUUGGGAUAACUUCAGGAAACUGGGGCUAAUACCGGAUAGGAGCUCCUGCUGCAUGGUGGGGGUUGGAAAGUUUCGGCGGUUGGGGAUGUACUCGCGGCUUAUCAGCUUGUUGGUGGGGUAGUGGCUUACCAAGGCUUUGACGGGUAGCCGGCCUGAGAGGGUGACCGGCCACAUUGGGACUGAGAUACGGCGCAGACGCCUACGGGAGGCAGCAGUGGGGAAUAUGGCAGAAUGGGCGGAAGCCUGAUGCAGCAACGCCGCGUGCGGGAUGACGGCCUUCGGGUUGUAAACCGCUUUCGAAUGUGACGAAGCGUGAGUGACGGUAAUGGGUAAAGAAGCACCGGCUAACUACGUG